UACGUAGGGUGCGAGCGUUGUCCGGAAUUACUGUGCGUAAAGAGCUCGUAGGUGGUUUGUCGCGUUGUCCGUGAAAACUCACAACUCAAUUGUGGGCGUGCGGGCGAUACGGGCAGACUGGAGUACUGCAGGGGAGACUGGAAUUCCUGGUGUAGCGGUGGAAUGCGCAGAUAUCAGGAGGAACACCGGUGGCGAAGGCGGGUCUCUGGGCAGUAACUGACGCUGAGGAGCGAAAGCGUGGGGAGCGAACAGG
rnacentral:rRNA from 1 species